rnacentral:rRNA from 1 species
CCUACGGGAGGCAGCAGUGAGGAAUAUUGGUCAAUGGACGCAAGUCUGAACCAGCCAUGCCGCGUGCAGGAAGACGGCCCUAUGAGUUGUAAACUGCUUUUAUAUGGGAAUAAAAUGUUCCACGUGUGGGAUUUUGUAUGUACCAUAUGAAUAAGGAUCGGCUAACCCCGUGCCAGCAGCCGCGGGUAUUCCGAGGAUCCGAGCGUUAUCCGGAUUUAUUGGGUUUAAAGGGAGCGUAGGUGGAUUGUUAAGUCAGUUGUUAAAGUUUGCGGCUCAACCGUAGAAUUGCAGUUGAAACUGGCAGUCUUGAGUACAGUAGAGGUGGGCGGAAUGCGUGGUGUAGCGGUGAAAUGCUUAGAUAUCACGAAGAACUCCGAUUGCGAAGGCAGUUCACUGGACUGCAACUGACACUGAGGCUCGAAAGUGUGGGUAUCAAACAGGAUUAGAUACCCCAGUAGUC